rnacentral:rRNA from 1 species
GCGUUCAUUAAAGUCGAGUUGGCUUAGGGAUACGUUCGUUGGGUAGGGGAGCGUUCUGUAAGCCGUUGAAGGUGGCCUGUGAGGGUUGCUGGAGGUAUCAGAAGUGCGAAUGCUGACAUAAGUAACGAUAAAGCGGGUGAAAAGCCCGCUCGCCGGAAGACCAAGGGUUCCUGUCCAACGUUAAUCGGGGCAGGGUGAGUCGACCCCUAAGGCGAGGCCGAAAGGCGUAGUCGAUGGGAAACGGGUUAAUAUUCCCGUACUUGGUGUUACUGCGAAGGGGGGACGGAGAAGGCUAUGUUGGCCGGGCGACGGUUGUCCCGGUUUAAGCGUGUAGGUGUGUGUUCCAGGUAAAUCCGGUUCACUUUAACACUGAGGCGUGACGACGAGGCACUACGGUGCUGAAGCAACAAAUGCCCUGCUUCCAGGAAAAGCCUCUAAGCAUCAGGUAACAUCAAAUCGUACCCCAAACCGACACAGGUGGUCAGGUAGAGAAUACCAAGGCGCUUGAGAGAACUCGGGUGAAGGAACUAGGCAAAAUGGUGCCGUAACUUCGGGAGAAGGCACGCUGACACGUAGGUGAAGUGAUUUACUCAUGGAGCUGAAGUCAGUCGAAGAUACCAGCUGGCUGCAACUGUUUAUUAAAAACACAGCACUGUGCAAACACGAAAGUGGACGUAUACGGUGUGACGCCUGCCCGGUGCCGGAAGGUUAAUUGAUGGGGUCAGCGCAAGCGAAGCUCCUGAUCGAAGCCCCGGUAAACGGCGGCCGUAACUAUAACGGUCCUAAGGUAGCGAAAUUCCUUGUCGGGUAAGUUCCGACCUGCACGAAUGGCGUAAUGAUGGCCAGGCUGUCUCCACCCGAGACUCAGUGAAAUUGAACUCGCUGUGAAGAUGCAGUGUACCCGCGGCAAGACGGAAAGACCCCGUGAACCUUUACUAUAGCUUGACACUGAACAUUGAGCCUUGAUGUGUAGGAUAGGUGGGAGGCUUUGAAGCGUGGACGCCAGUCUGCGUGGAGCCG